CAGGUGCCUGAGAAGGCUUAAUAGGGAAGUCCGGUGAAAAACCGGCGCGGUCCCGCCACUGUAACGGGAAGUAAAGCCAUAAUUAUGCCACUGAGACCUUGUCUUGGGAAGGUAUGGCAGAGCGAUGAUCCGGAGCCAGGAGAACUGCCUGUGAAUUUA
rnacentral:ncRNA from 1 species